AUUGAACGCUGGCGGCAGGCCUAACACAUGCAAGUCGAACGAGUGGCGGACGGGUGAGUAAUGUCUGGGAAACUGCCCGAUGGAGGGGGAUAACUACUGGAAACGGUAGCUAAUACCGCAUACCAUCGGAUGUGCCCAGAUGGGAUUAGCUAGUAGGUGGGGUAACGGCUCACCUAGGCGACGAUCCCUAGCUGGUCUGAUAGGAUGAACAGCCACACUGGAACUGAGACACGGUCCAGACUCCUACGUGAGGAAGCAGUGGGGAAUAUUGCACAAUGGGCGCAAGCCUGAUGCAGCCAUGCCGCGUGGAUGAAGAAGGCCUUAGGGUUGUAAAGUACUUUCAGCGAGGAGGCGUUACUCGCAGAAGAAGCACCGGCUAACUCCGUGCCAGCAGCCGCGGUAAUAC
rnacentral:rRNA from 1 species